GCUUGGGCUAGGUUGGGGAGCUAGUGGUUCCCUGUGACCGGACAUCCACUUCAGCCGGGACCGAAACCCGAGAGGCGGUUGUCCAGGCAGCAUUGGGCUCAUUGCCACGGCAUUGACCUUCUGUCCUGUGAGGUUAACCGCUUAAGUGAACCCCGCCAGGCCCGGAAGGGGUAGCUUAAACGGCUGAUGCUCAGAGGGCUACGGAAGCGAGCACGCGCAAUGCCAAACCCUUGUUUCUUGACGCAAUCCACUAUCGGGUGCGCCCACUU
rnacentral:SRP_RNA from 1 species